CGGUUCGACGAGGCCCAAUAAGGCCAAUGAGCUUCGUUGGCGAAAUAAAAGGGUUUUGGGAUGAUGAGGGCGAACUGGUGCUGCAAGUCGGAGCGCGGAAGGUGGGAGGGGACUGGGGAGAGAGGAAUCGUGCGGCGAUGGGCUCUCGGUGCCCGCCUCGAAACUGCGAGGUCUGCUGCAUAGCGCAAUCCAAGUACAAGUGCCCGAACUGCCUUGCCCCUUAUUGCUCCUUGGCAUGCUUCAAGAAGCAUAAAGAAGUUCCAUGCCAAAAGCCAUCACCUUUGGUGGAAGAGCCACCAAAUCUAUUGCGUCCUCAACGACCAUUUGAAGUAGGAGAACCAAGUUGGGUUGUUGACAGAGAGCAAUUACAGUUGAUAGGUAAUGCUCAAUUCUAUUUCAACUUGCCAUUGUUUUGUCCAUUUGCUCUGUCAUUCUGUAUAUUUAAUUUAGCUAUCAAGCUUAGUAGUUCAGACUUCAGAUAUGAUAAUAUGGUUGCCUUGCUUUUAGUAUCCUAUUUGCGGGGAUAUAGAAUAAUAGAGAAAAAAAAAUUAGGAAGCAGCUUACUUUAGAGCUUUCAUUGGUUUAGGAAUUGUGAGGUCCAAUGCAUUAUAAUCAAAGACAUAUCCAUUAUUCCUGUGGUAGAUGGAGUUUGUGAUUCUUAAGAGAGUUGACAUUUAGGUACUAAAGAUUUAUUAUCUGGGUUUUGCUUUUUACCUUGUAAACUUCUUGAUAUGCGAUGGCUGAUAUUGUCUGAUAUCAACCCGGUGAAUUUCAUAGGAUCAAGUGUUUAAACCUACAAUAUUUGUCAUCUGCAAUAAGUGAUUUUGCUAGGAGGCGAGUUCCUUCACUGUACUUGUUUCUUUUUGUUAUAGUGAGACUAUCUUAGAUUGAGAACAUUACAUAAGGAGGAUCUUCUUGUGCAUUAUCUAGAAAAGUCCUAAAUUCCAAUCUUACUAGGUACUGAUCCUAUUUUCAGAUUUUAUACAUGAGUAUUCCUUUCUUUAAAAAUAACAACCUUGCCUUCAGAAUCAAUCAGUUACAUGCGAUUUCAUCAACAUUUCUAAUGUAACAAAAUAAAUUUACUUUAAGUUUGACUUUCUGUAUACUUGUGCAGGGGAGCUUAGCUUGAUUGCCAAAACGGCUCCUCCCUGGCCCUUUUUUUAGUGAUACUCAACUGGCUAUGUUGCUCUAUAAUCUUGAUACAACUGCUGAUACUGCUAGCAUUAUUUUUUGUAUACAUUUCCAAUUGCAUUUUAUCCAAAUCUCUAUUUUGCGGACUUGAAUGCUAAUUUGGUCUUUUGGGUAGUAGUACAAAUGUUGUUGAUUUAGAUUCCUUCUUAUCAAAGUUUGAUGACGCAAGAAAGCACAAGUUAGCUCGUUUCCCUGAUAUCUUUUCAGAUCAAAGUCAACUGAACAGUGUAGCUGCAUCUUGACAUCUAUAAAUCUCUAACGUUUGUCAUUUAUAUUUAUUCUUGUUUGCUUACUUGUCUGAUUGAUAUAAAGCCCUUAAAAUGUUUCAAAUGCCAUUUCACUACAAGCAGCAAACUCAAGCGCCAUACAGGAGAUCUUAAAGGAUGCAGAACUAAGAAGAAUAAUACGUCAAAUUGAUGCAGCUGAUGAGCCAGAGGAUCAACUGACUAACGCCAUGGAAGGGGAAGUUUUUCGUGCUCUUACAGAAAAGAUCCUCUCCAUUGUUAGUCCUAAAGAGUGAUAAUAUUCAUUUCUGAAACCCAAACUUGGAAGAUGAUCUAAUACUGAUAAGGAGGACCAGGCCCGUCCAUUUUUGAUUGGACCUGAUGAUGAAGAGAUUGAGUAUUACGAUCUAGUUGUUGUAAUUGUUUAUGUAAUGACUUUUCCUCUAUAAAACAAAAGUUAUAUUUAAAUAUAUAUGAUGGAGAUCGCGCUCCAAGAUUCUUGCUUUA